GCCAGCAUGGCAUAGUGGUUUGAGCAUUAGACUAUGACUCUGGAAACCAGGGUUCAAAUUCAUGUUUGACC